rnacentral:rRNA from 1 species
CCAGACUCCUACGGGAGGCAGCAGUGGGGAAUAUUGCACAAUGGGGGAAACCCUGAUGCAGCGACGCCGCGUGAGCGAUGAAGUAUUUCGGUAUGUAAAGCUCUAUCAGCAGGGAAGAAAAUGACGGUACCUGACUAAGAAGCCCCGGCUAACUACGUGCCAGCAGCCGCGGUAAUACGUAGGGGGCAAGCGUUAUCCGGAUUUACUGGGUGUAAAGGGAGCGUAGACGGCGGUGCAAGCCAGAUGUGAAAGCCCGGGGCUCAACCCCGGGACUGCAUUUGGAACUGUGCUGCUAGAGUGUCGGAGAGGCAGGCGGAAUUCCUAGUGUAGCGGUGAAAUGCGUAGAUAUCAGGAGGAACACCGGCGGCGAAGGCGGCCUGCUGGACCGUAACUGACGUUGAGGCUCGAAAGCGUGGGGAGCAAACAGGAUUAGAUACCCUCGUAA